ACCAUCUCAGUUCAUAAUCUGGAAAAAAAUCGUUAAUUAGUGUAACGAGACAGUUCGCGGGCAUGACGUCACAGUAGUCUGUGGGGGUAUGGGUAGCUUUCGUGGUAGGCCUAGGCAAGGUGAAAAGUCUUUCUAGCAGAGGAGGCCGUGACGAUUGUUACGCAGAGGUGUGGUAGUCCCGAGUUGUGGGCCACGCUAGUGUCAUGUCGGCUGCUGACAAUUUAGUUAGAAUCAUAUAUAAGAACUGUGGGCUGAGAUAUUGAGGAGCUGUACUACCGGUUAUAAUCUAAGAAGAACCAGCGAGAUGGAGACUGGGUGCUGGUCAAGAUUGUGUGAAGUGCGCGGUAAUUAAUAUGAACGCUGAAAACAAUGAACAGUGAAAAGUGAAUAUUAUAGCCCAAAUCUUUAUAUGCGUAUUAUGUUUGUCUUCAUUAUUUAUUUUUUUUUGUGUGUGUAUCAUACUUCGUAAAUAAAAUACUAAUAGUA